ACCAAGACUAAACAACCACCACCACCAGUUAAACCUACAGCAAAAUGGGAAGGCCAUGCAUUUUGAGACGCGCAGCCCUAAGCAACUACUAGUUUACCAACACUGAGCCCUUAGGCAGCAACCUGCCUACUCAGCUAUUAUACACCAGUGCUCUAUGAUUAUAAAGUCCUUAUAUAUUAUUACUAUUUUAAAAUCUCAGUUCACUAAGAUAAGAAAAAACUAUUACCAUCAUCAAUCCUAUGCUAGAGAUAAAGAAAAUAGGGUCCAAGUGAUUUGAAAUGGAGCAAAUAAUACAAUAGUGAUGAAAUGAUCAAUAAAUUAUUUCAGUGUGAUUAACCUUUUACACUUUUGAAGGUAGCAUAAUAAUUUAUACCAAAACCAACUACUU
rnacentral:lncRNA from 1 species